CGGCGCUGGAGGUGCUUCUGGCUUCAGCCGCUGAGACGGAAGUUUGGAGUUACGCUUGGUUCAGCAAAGGCAGCAGCUGUCAGACUGUGUGUUCUAUACUGGACAUCUUUGAAAUAAUAGAUGCCCCUUCUUGACUGAGGAGAUGAUAUAAAGAUUACAGAUUCCUACUAUAAUGAAUCUACUACAAUGACAAGAGGAGUUUUCAUGAGAGUGAAGACCACUAAAAGGUUUGUCAUGCUCCAACGGAUCAGCACUCCAGAAGACAUAGCUUCAACAAUCUCCUGUAUUUAUCCUCAAAGAGCAUACUUUAUCAGCCAUGGCAGAGGCAGUUCUGUUGUAUCUCAGAGUCUGAAUUUAUAGGUAUUAAUGAUAUUAUGGUAAGGUAUAAUUCAAAGAACCUUAAAUUUGGAGUUAGGAGGCUUGAGUUCUGUGUCUAGCUCUGAUAUUAAUAGAAGUAAGCAAACUUCUACAGGUAUUUUAAUAUCUUUUGGUCUCAGAUUCUUCCUUUCUAAAAUGAAACAAAUCUAAGAUUUACUGAAGUUCUAACAUUCUAUAAACAAAAAUCUAUGAUUAAUACCAUUAUUUCAUAAAACUGUUGAAACAAUUAUCCUCCAUAAUUGAAGAAUAUUGUCUGAGGAGUUUAUUUUAAAAAAUUAAAUAGCAACUCCAAAAUGAAUAUCCAGUAUCAAAAAUUUACUAAACUCAACAUAUACCAGUUAAAAUCUGUUCUCUCUAAAAUCCCUCUCCCAUAAAUUUCUCCUUCUCUCUUAACACCCUCUCCCUCCAUUGUCAGGAAAUUCAGGGAUGGUACAGCUCAAUCACAGCCAAGAUACAUCAUAAGAAUUUAUCAAGCCAUUGUGGAAAUACUCCAGGAAUAUAGUUGUUUUUUCUUCAUUUUUGAGAUGCUUCUUUUUACAAAAAGGGUACCCUGAUAUCCUUGCUUUGAGACUCGAGUUUGACUUGCAUUUAAAAGUACACAUGCUUUUUUACUUUCUUCUCAGCUCCUGACAUGAUCUUAGGCACUCAGUUUCCAUAAAAACUAAAGUGUCAUGAAAGACUUAUGGUUUGAUUUUAAAUGGAAUGUACCAUCCUUUUUGAAGUCCGACAUCAUUUUGUUUACUACUUAACCACAGAAACAUUGUGAAGCCUUAACCAGCCUAUUAUCAGAGCCUGUUCACUAUCAGAAAAACUCUUUGUAACUGGCUUCCGUCACACCUUGUAUCUGAUUAACACACUAUAGGAUAACAUAGAGCUACAUAGAUCUGCUUUGUGUUCUAACAUAACUGAUGGAAAACAGAUUUUCCUUUCUCCUUUAAUGUGACAGCCCCUAAUUGAGAAUGUAAUAUGGUUUAUUUAAUACACUUCUUCAUACUAAAUUAAAGCAGAUCCAGAGUAAUUUAGUUGCUCAUUAAGGUUAAGGUAAUAGCUGCUAAAAAGAUGCCUUUUUAUGUCUUAGAGAACAUUUAUUCUGAUGAUAGGUACAGGAUAAGUAGAUAUAGAUAUGUACACAUAAUUAAACACACAUAACGGAGUUGUUGACUUUUAUGGGAUAGUACUAUUUCUCAACAGUACUAUCCCAAGUUUUGUUCUGUAGUCAUGACUAUGACAUUUUCUAACCAGAUCUCAAAUAUAAUCAUCUCUUUAACCCCUGUUUAAAGUGCUGAGGAAGCUCAUCUGUGCAAUAUCAUUUCAAAUAUCAUGUCCAAUAGGGCCACAAAGUUAGAACUAAGUGAAAUUUAUUUAAGAAAUCAUGAUUUUUAUCUUUCGUACUAUGCUUGAGUUCUUUUGAAUCCAACUAUUGUCAAUUUAAAAAAAAGCAACAUGCACAGAACUAGCAAGGAAUACAUAUACAUUCACAUACAUAUGAUCACAUUCAUAUCAUAUAUAUAUAGUCUAUAUUUUAACAAGCUAGAAGAAUAUCCUAAAUUUCUGCCUUUCAGGUUUAUAUAUCAAAAGGAACUCCAGAAGAUGGCUAACCAAAUUCAUCUCACUAAACCCAAUUUGAUUGUAUACAAUUGAGAAAAAUCUAACUUAGAAGUCUGAGCAAUGAAAAUUGGUACAAAGACUAUAAAACAAGCAAGAACCAACACCACCUGCUCUGGAAAGAACACCUAAGUAGUUUUCUGUCAACAACUCAUUUGUCUCUGCUCUGUACCUGUGUCCAACCUGUAAGCCAAUUAAAACUGACUGCCAUCUAUCCAUUUUACCCAAUCCCCACCCAUUUCCUGCUUUUGAGAGCCUGUCCUGAAAAAAUCUGAGUUCUAAUGUUAACCCUAAUCUAAUCUUAUGAAAGUUUCUCUAUAACUUCCCUUUCCAAGAUGUUAUAACACGUCUUUUUUUUUUUCUUAAUAAGACAUCUUUUUAAAGUGCUUUCCCUUGCAGGCAAUAUUAAUGCACUUCUGUAGGACAUAGGCUUGCCUGGUAAUUUUUGUGGGGACUAUACCAGCUGAUGUCUUAGAGGUUAUAGUGAACUUACUUUGGUUUAUCUCUUUUCAAAAUACCAGUCUUAUUAAAUAUAAUUUUGACUAUCCAGGAAUAAAGAUAGCACCUUGUUUUCUAAGUUUAAAAUAUUAAACCUAGGUAAUAAUUCCAAGUUACUAAAAUAUACACAAUCUUCCCAUGAUCACAAUUAGACUUAAUUAAAAAAAAAAAAAGGCCACCAUUCACAAUCUCAGUGACACAAACCUGUGUUAGUAUCAAAUCACAUGGGCCUGUGGCUGGUUAGAAAGAUGACAGACAUCACUCUUUUACCAGGGAACCUAGAUACAUCCCUUUUCCCAUAAAUACCUUAUAGACACAAUGUGCCAUUAGUAUAUAACAUCUAUUGAUAGGGCCAUAUAAUAGUACUGUUCCUGGAAGGUAAGUUGAUGUCUAGAUGACAGUAUCCUGGUGUUCUCUAGAGUUUAGAAUGUAAACUUUUGUAUUCUAGGGACUUUGUGUUUUGUUAUUCCCAGUGUCUUACUGUUUUGACACAGUAUAUCUUUAAUAAACAUGUACUAAAUGUUUUACAACUAAGAAAGCUCAGGGGAGGAAUUUAUUUACCAACUGGGGAAGAAUUUAUGAGGUUAUCAAAUAUUUCAUACAAAGCUGAAGAAGUACUGAGGAUAAAAAUCUAAUUGGGUUUUUAGAAGCUCUCUAUGAUUAAAGGAUUCUGUUCUUCCCUUCA